rnacentral:rRNA from 1 species
AUUGAACGCUGGCGGCAGGCCUAACACAUGCAAGUCGAGCGGAUGAAGGGAGCUUGCUCCUGGAUUCAGCGGCGGACGGGUGAGUAAUGCCUAGGAAUCUGCCUGGUAGUGGGGGAUAACGUCCGGAAACGGGCGCUAAUACCGCAUACGUCCUGAGGGAGAAAGUGGGGGAUCUUCGGACCUCACGCUAUCAGAUGAGCCUAGGUCGGAUUAGCUAGUUGGUGGGGUAAAGGCCUACCAAGGCGACGAUCCGUAACUGGUCUGAGAGGAUGAUCAGUCACACUGGAACUGAGACACGGUCCAGACUCCUACGGGAGGCAGCAGUGGGGAAUAUUGGACAAUGGGCGAAAGCCUGAUCGAGCCAUGCCGCGUGUGUGAAGAAGGUCUUCGGAUUGUAAAGCACUUUAAGUUGGGAGGAAGAGCAGUAAGAGAAAACAUGGAUGUCUUGACGGUACCAACAGAAUAAGCAACGGCUAACUUCGUG